rnacentral:rRNA from 1 species
UACGAAGGGUGCAAGCGUUAAUCGGGAUUACUGGGCGUAAAGGGUGCGUAGGCGGUUGUUUAAGUCUGUCGUGAAAUCCCCGGGCUCAACCUGGGAAUGGCGAUGGAUACUGGACGGCUAGAGUGUGUCAGAGGAUGGUGGAAUUCCCGGUGUAGCGGUGAAAUGCGUAGAGAUCGGGAGGAACAUCAGUGGCGAAGGCGGCCAUCUGGGACAACGCUGACGCUGAAGCACGAAAGCGUGGGGAGCAAACAGG